CAUCAUGACAGGCAGUCAACUGUUUUAAACAGUUGUUAUUUAAGUUCCUAAUAAUCUCUUUUGUAUGUGCCUAGAUGUACCAGACUCUUGGAGAGACUACAGGUAGCUCAGCAGCUUGGUGUUUUCUUAUGUGUAAGGUGUUGUGAAGAGACAAGAUCACUACACUGGAAUUUGACAGAGCUACGUGGGGUGUAUUAACAGACAAAGCAAGGUUCUGCUAAUGCAGUUCCCUGGAAGAACAAGACAGCUACAAAAUGUAAAGAUCUAGGUAAAUCCUGGCAUUAAAUCUGCUGCAAAAUACAUGAAAG